GGAAGGGAAUCGUGUCCGGUGAUGCGGCCGGUCUUCAAAACCGGUGAAGGCUGUAAGACAGUCUUAGUAGGUUCGACUCCUACUCUCUUCCGCCA
rnacentral:tRNA from 1 species